AUGGGGACGCUGGAGCCUCUCUCAAACCUCACCUCUCUCACCCGAUUAAAGUUGUGCAAUUGUGGAGAGGAUCUAAGAUGCAAGGGCCUGGGCCCUCUCCUGGGACAUCUCAGAGAAUUUAUCGUCUUUGGCAGCCCAAGAGCAUUUGCUGGUUUGGAUCCCAAUCCUAGGCUUGUGUUGCAUGAUGAAGGAGAAGACCAGGAGCUGAAGCAGUUGCAGCUUGUUUCCCCUUUGAGUUCAUCCCAAGUACAUAUCCUCUGUACGGAUGAGGCCAUGGGUCUCCUCGCCGCACCCAUCUGCAGCUUGUUGUCUUCCUCCCUAACCUGCCUGCACUUUCACCUCCUCGCCUCCGUCCCUGAUAAGAUCGAGCGCUUCACCAAGGAGCAAGAGGAUGCCCUUCACCUCCUCGCGUCCCUCCAGUAA
rnacentral:rRNA from 1 species